rnacentral:rRNA from 1 species
GACGGAGGAUGCAAGUGUUAUCCGGAAUCACUGGGCGUAAAGCGUCUGUAGGUGGUUUAAUAAUCAACUGUUAAAUCUUGAGGCUCAACCUCAAAAUCGCAGUCGAAACUAUUAGGCUAGAGUAUAGUAGGGGUAAAGGGAAUUUCCAGUGGAGCGGUGAAAUGCGUAGAGAUUGGAAAGAACACCGAUGGCGAAGGCACUUUACUGGGCUAUUACUAACACUCAGAGAACGAAGCUAGGGUAGCAAAUGGG